rnacentral:misc_RNA from 1 species
GCAGGGUGACGGCGCGGGCAUGGCUCCCGACCGCGACGUCAACGACGCGCGCGAGUCCACUGCCCGGGUUUUUCUGUUCCACGGGCUCGCGCGGCGCGCCAAAUCGGGGGNGCGCCAAAUCUGGGUCUUGGGUAGCUCUCAGCCAUCGGUUCCGCAUACGCUGAAACCGAUAGCCGGACAACAGGUUGAGCCGGUUCUACUGAAUUCUCACGACGACUGUGUCCGCCGCGCCAGUCGCGUCCAUAACCGUCAGCCGGACGAAGCCCGGCCCCGGCGGAUCGACCAGUUUUUGCCUUCUGCUGUCGAUAUUUCCGACCGCGACGCCGUUAAC